GAUGAACGCUGGCGGCGUGCCUAAUACAUGCAAGUCGAGCGAACGGAUGAGAAGCUUGCUUCUCUGAUGUUAGCGGCGGACGGGUGAGUAACACGUGGAUAACCUACCUAUAAGACUGGGAUAACUUCGGGAAACCGGAGCUGAUACCGGAUAAUAUUUUGAACCGCAUGGUUCAAAAGUGAAAGACGGUCUUGCUGUCACUUAUAGAUGGAUCCGCGCUGCAUUAGCUAGUUGGUAAGGUAACGGCUUACCAAGGCAACGAUGCAUAGCCGACCUGAGAGGGUGAUCGGCCACACUGGAACUGAGACACGGUCCAGACUCCUACGGGAGGCAGCAGUAGGGAAUCUUCCGCAAUGGGCGAAAGCCUGACGGAGCAACGCCGCGUGAGUGAUGAAGGUCUUCGGAUCGUAAAACUCUGUUAUUAGGGAAGAACAUAUGUGUAAGUAACUGUGCACAUCUUGACGGUACCUAAUCAGAAAGCCACGGCUAACUACGUG
rnacentral:rRNA from 1 species